rnacentral:rRNA from 2 species
GCGGAUCUUCAUUAGCUUGCUUUUGAAGAUCAGCGGCGGACGGGUGAGUAACACGUGGGCAACCUGCCUGUAAGACUGGGAUAACUUCGGGAAACCGGAGCUAAUACCGGAUAAUCCUUUCCCUCACAUGAGGGAAAGCUGAAAGACGGUUUCGGCUGUCACUUACAGAUGGGCCCGCGGCGCAUUAGCUAGUUGGUGAGGUAACGGCUCACCAAGGCAACGAUGCGUAGCCGACCUGAGAGGGUGAUCGGCCACACUGGGACUGAGACACGGCCCAGACUCCUACGGGAGGCAGCAGUAGGGAAUCUUCCGCAAUGGACGAAAGUCUGACGGAGCAACGCCGCGUGAACGAUGAAGGCCUUCGGGUCGUAAAGUUCUGUUGUCAGAGAAGAACAAGUACCGGAGUAACUGCCGGUACCUUGACGGUACCUGACCAGAAAGCCACGGCUAACUACGUGCCAGCAGCCGCGGUAAUACGUAGGUGGCAAGCGUUGUCCGGAAUUAUUGGGCGUAAAGCGCGCGCAGGCGGUUCCUUAAGUCUGAUGUGAAAGCCCCCGGCUCAACCGGGGAGGGUCAUUGGAAACUGGGGAACUUGAGUGCAGAAGAGGAGAGCGGAAUUCCACGUGUAGCGGUGAAAUGCGUAGAGAUGUGGAGGAACACCAGUGGCGAAGGCGGCUCUCUGGUCUGUAACUGACGCUGAGGCGCGAAAGCGUGGGGAGCGAACAGGAUUAGAUACCCUGGUAGUCCACGCCGUAAACGAUGAGUGCUAAGUGUUAGAGGGUUUCCGCCCUUUAGUGCUGCAGCAAACGCAUUAAGCACUCCGCCUGGGGAGUACGGCCGCAAGGCUGAAACUCAAAGGAAUUGACGGGGGCCCGCACAAGCGGUGGAGCAUGUGGUUUAAUUCGAAGCAACGCGAAGAACCUUACCAGGUCUUGACAUCCUCUGACAACCCUAGAGAUAGGGCGUUCCCCUUCGGGGGACAGAGUGACAGGUGGUGCAUGGUUGUCGUCAGCUCGUGUCGUGAGAUGUUGGGUUAAGUCCCGCAACGAGCGCAACCCUUGAUCUUAGUUGCCAGCAUUCAGUUGGGCACUCUAAGGUGACUGCCGGUGACAAACCGGAGGAAGGUGGGGAUGACGUCAAAUCAUCAUGCCCCUUAUGACCUGGGGUACACACGUGCUACAAUGGAUGGAACCAAAGGGCCCGAAACCCCCAGGGCGAGCAAUCCCCUAAAUCCUUUCUCAGUUCGGAUUGAAGGGUGCAACUCC